AUGAGCGGAUCCACACCGACCCACACGGGCGGGGCCAAAACAAAGUCUGACGUGCAGGUCACCAUCGACGUCCACGACCAAGACUGCCCCACAAGCGCCGGAUUCCAGACUGGCUCCUCCUACACCUCCUCAUCAUCCUCCAGCAUCACCCCAUCCUCUAGCUCGGGAAUGGCGACAUCACCAGCGGCCGACAAAGCAAGCCACAUCGCCAGGCCUUUCAACUCCUUCAAUUCGUCAAGCCUAGAGUCCUUGAGCACCUUCUCCAAGACCUCGUCCUCCUCCUCCUUUGCUACAGGUGGAGAUGUUGGUGGGGACGGCGAUGUCGAGGGUGCACACGCGCAUGAGGUGGCAUGUGAGCACGCACGACACGUGGUGGGCUAG
rnacentral:rRNA from 1 species